AAUAAAUCAAUUUUUCACUUUUUAUCUAUAAUAUUUGAUUAUUCGUCUUAUUUAAAAAAAUUUAUGAUUAAUAUUUAUGUUUUCACUAAAUGAUAAAUUAUGAAUAGUAUUUUAAGUGUGACUAACUUUUUUUAAAUUUUUUGAAAAAUUUUUAAAUAAGACGGAUGGUCAAACACUAGACACGAAAAC
rnacentral:pre_miRNA from 1 species